GAGAGAAGAGCUUGUCACGUCGCCAAGGCGUGACUGCCUGAGAACUCAACUAGGGUUUUUCUGAUUUUUAUCGUGUAAUAAACCUCUUUACUCUUUAGGAUCGAGGCUGCAGGCAAAUCAUCCUUGGCUACCAAACAAGGCUCCUUCUUC
rnacentral:pre_miRNA from 1 species